AGGGGCAUGGGAGGAAGGCCAUGCCACACGGAAGAGCGGCAUUUCCUUACACACAGAAGCAGGAACGUGGAACCCCACAAAACCACACCUGCCGGCCCUGAAGCUCCUUUGACUGCCCCACACUUCCUUUCUGGGCCCAAGAGUUUCUGACCCGAUAGUCAGCGCCCACAGCAUUCACGCCUCACCUUCACACUUCUCUAUCAAUAUUUGUGAUAGCUUAUAGAGCUCAGUGCCAAUGUCACACUUCACCACUAAGUGUCAUUAUACUAUAGCUACUCUGGGGCAUAAAAUGUCCGUUAGACACCUACACCCUCUUGCUUCUUUAAGCCUGAGGCUCGGCAGCUGUGGCUGCCCUUGCUUUUCCCACAGGCAGCGGGCAGCAGCAAAGACAGACAAAGCCCGACUCGUCACUUUCCUACCGUGAUCCUCACCAGGCACCGCAAUCCAGCCUUUAUUUAUUCUUCCUUUCUCUUAAAGAACAUAACAGCGUUGAAAGUGAGCCAUCAUCGCUGCUCCCGUGCCCCGGAUGGCCGUGCAAUCUCCCGCUAAAAGGGACAACAGGGAGCAAGACUCCAGCUGAAAGGCGAGGAGUCUGCACGGGGCUUGCCUUGCCCAGACAGAAGACUGGUUAACGUUGUUGUGGGCUGGGUGUGUGAUGGGAUGUGGCCUCAAGGUCAUGUUUGAGGCCCAGCAAAUGCAGGGUCUGUGGCUAGAAAUUGUAGCCCAGAGACACUGGGCUUUCACAGCGUAAGAGCCACUUUGUAAUUGAAUGGAGGCAGGGAGCCACAAAGAAAGAAGUAAGGCACGGAACCUUCUCUUAAUGGCUGUAGCCGGGGUUCAGAGGCAAACUCACACCAGGGGAGGGCUGACCACCCCAGGGGCAGGGCAGGGGCUCUGGUCACUGCACAUUGGCCCUCUCCUUGCUGGGAGGGAUACCUGAGGAUCCCCCACGUCUCUUAACCACGUAGAAAAUCAGAAAGGAAACUCCAACUUCUCCAGACUGCUAGAACGAAGCCAUAUCAAAUAGACACUGAUGCUAUGGUUGAGACCUCAGGGCCUUCUUCCACAGCCCCUCACAAACCCUAACUCAGCUCAAUGACCCUACUGGCUACCAGAAGCUUCCCUGUUAAUACCUUGAGCUUUCCAAGCUCUGUACCCGCACGCACAACUGCUUUUCCCUGUAUUGCCCUGACUCUUUUCUGCACAUCUGGAUUCUGCUCAUCUUUCAAAUGCCUCGUCCCUCGUGAGCCUUCUGGAUAGAAGAGGCCUCCCUUUUUCUUAAACAUCCACAGCCUCUGACUUGGGCCUCUUCGCUGCUGGUUCAUAUCCUUUCUGCCUUAUAUUCUAUUGUUUCGGUACACGCCAUGGCUCCAACCAGAAGUCGCUGAAAAUAAGAACCAAUGGUACUCCUCUUUUCUCUGCUUCCCCUUCCCAGGCAGCUCAGUGUUUGUGGAGUGAGUCACUGACAGGGGCAGAAGCAGGGCUGCUACAUCCCUGCGAUCAAUGCACUAUGACACGGGAUCAUCAACAUAAAGUGAACACGGAAAAGGGAAAGAUGUCCCAGUGGAAAGAAGCAAAGAAGACGCAAGGUGACGAGACCGCGGGACGUGGCUCUGUCCUCCGACACAGGAGCGGCGCCCUACAGAGAGACGGUUUACGAAGUACUUUCUCGGGCAAGAUUCUCUAAGGUGGUGGUAAAAUACUUUGUAGCCACGAAUCCCCCCCGCCCCUUUUUUCCCCCUGUCAGCUGAGGUUCCUCUCAAGGAAAAAUUCUCUUACGCUUUGAAAGUCAACACCAAAAGCACAAGUGUAGGGGACAAUGUGGGCACCAAGGGACACAUACUCCUCCUGAAUCUAUGGGGAGUCUGUAGGGAUGGACGCUGCCAGAGGAGGCAGUCAAGGGUCUUUAUUAACUAACCUGGGAGGAGUUAACAAUUAACCUUGUUUUCCACAUGGCUGCCAUUGCACCAGCAACAUGGGGAGGAAAAGGAGGCCUACUGAAGCUGGUCAGUCACCGUCUGGUCAGACAACUGAUGGUACCUGCAGAGCACAAGCAAUAUGCCAGCAUCACGGGGGGUAUGAAGAUGCCACUGCCUUCAAGGAACCUACACCUGUGAAGGACCCUCAUGACAACGGAGUCCAGUUGCCCGGCCCGGGCCUGUGCCUCUCGUGCACCACAGCUGAUGCGGCCCACGUAUCCGAAUGCUUCCGUGAUAAAUGCCUGCCCCUCCCACUUUGCCAGACAGGGAGUUCCACAGGAGCACCGGCCACACAUUGGGGUCUGUGCAUCACUGUACCCCCGGGGCUGAACACACAGCAUGUCCUCAAGAGGGCUUAGAAGCAAUCGCCAUAGCAGAAAGAAUACAGAGGACGGCUGGCUACAUUAACCUCUGGCAAGUCGGCACUGACUCCUCACACCCCUUCAAAAGGCCUGGAGAGAACUCAAAUCCCACUUCUAGGAGCUCCUACCAGUCAACGGCGGCUGAUAACAUUAUCAAGGGAUGGCCCCCAUAAAACGCCGUCUUGUUCUUCCUCUUAGCGGGACAGCUGACGGACUGCACAUUCGGAGUAGACUACAAGGGCCAAAGAGGCAAGCACGUAAAACCGCCCAAUGCUUUGUAUGGAACACAGUCCUUCUACAUUGGAGAGAAAUCCUUGCUGUAAUUAUGUCUAGAAGGAAAAUAAAUAUGAAUGAAGAAA